ACUGCUCAGUAACACGUAGUCAACAUGCCCAGGGGACGUGGAUAACCUCGGGAAACUGAGGAUAAACCGCGAUAAGUCACUACUUCUGGAAUGGGUAAUGACUAAAAUCUACAUGGCCCCUGGAUUGGACUGCGGCCGAUCAGGCUGUUGGUGAGGUAAUGGCCCACCAAACCUGUAACCGGUACGGGCUCUGAGAGGAGGAGCCCGGAGAUGGGCACUGAGACAAGGGCCCAGGCCCUAUGGGGCGCAGCAGGCGCGAAACCUCUGCAAUAGGCGAAAGCCUGACAGGGUUACUCUGAGUGAUUUCCGUUAAGGAGAUCUUUUGGCACCUCUAAAAAUGGUGCAGAAUAAGGGGUGGGCAAGUCUGGUGUCAGCCGCCGCGGUAAUACCAGCACCCCGAGUGGUCGGGACGUUUAUUGGGCCUAAAGCAUCCGUAGCCGGUUCUACAAGUCUUCCGUUAAAUCCACCUGCUUAACAGAUGGGCUGCGGAAGAUACUAUGGAGCUAGGAGGCGGGAGAGGCAAGCGGUACUCGAUGGGUAGGGGUAAAAUCCGUUGAUCCAUUGAAGACCACCAGUGGCGAAGGCGGCUUGCCAGAACGCGCUCGACGGUGAGGGAUGAAAGCUGGGGGAGCAAACCGGAUUAGAUACCCGGGUAGUCCCAGCUGUAAACGAUGCAGACUCGGUGAUGAGUUGGCUUUUUGCCAACUCAGUGCCGCAGGGAAGCCGUUAAGUUUGCCGCCUGGGGAGUACGGUCGCAAGACUGAAACUUAAAGGAAUUGGCGGGGGAGCAC
rnacentral:rRNA from 1 species